rnacentral:lncRNA from 1 species
UUUAGAAAAUCGGAGUCCUUAGCCACAUUUGCUUUCAUACUUCUUUUUAUUUAUUCCUUUUCAGAAUCCAUAAUUCAUGUCCCCCUAUAAAACAGAAGGACAAAGAGAGACAAACCCAUGUUCCAUAAAAGCUCUUAGAAACCCUGCUGGAGACAAAUCCUGGGCUCGGUGCACAUUUGGUGUGAUCAGCUGUGGCUCUCAGUAUUCUAACACUCAUCAUGUGCCUCACUGGUGUCAGGAGAGAUUUGGGCUGUGUACUAAUGGCUGUGGAGCUUGAUGGGCAUGUUGGUGGGAGUUGACUGAACGGAUUUAGCAGGUGAUGAAGUCAGCUUCCUCUAGACUCACCUUAGUUGCUUCCCCUCCUUGAUGAACCUUUUCCUUUAAGUCACCCUGGGAAGCAGCACUACUGGGAAGCAGCUCCUCCUGCAAGAGAUGAGCAUUCAUGUCAUGACACUGCUGAGGAUUCACAGUACAUCUAC